rnacentral:rRNA from 1 species
AGGACGAACGCUGGCGGCGUGCCUAACACAUGCAAGUCGAGCGAGGAGAUCCUUCGGGAUGAUCCUAGCGGCGGACGGGUGAGUAACACGUGGGCAACCUGCCUCAUAGAGAGGAAUAGCCUUCCGAAGGGGAGAUUAAUACCUCAUAACAUUGCAGUUUCGCAUGGAACAGCAAUUAAAGGAGUAAUCCGCUAUGAGAUGGGCCCGCGGCGCAUUAGCUAGUUGGUGAGGUAACGGCUCACCAAGGCGACGAUGCGUAGCCGACCUGAGAGGGUGAUCGGCCACAUUGGGACUGAGACACGGCCCAGACUCCUACGGGAGGCAGCAGUGGGGAAUAUUGCACAAUGGGGGAAACCCUGAUGCAAGCAACGCCGCGUGAGUGAUGACGGCCUUCGGGUUGUAAAGCUCUGUCUUCAGGGACGAUAAUGACGGUACCUGAGGAGGAAGCCACGGCUAACUACGUGCCAGCAGCGGC